rnacentral:rRNA from 1 species
UACGUAGGGUGCAAGCGUUGUCCGGAAUUAUUGGGCGUAAAGAGCGUGUAGGCGGCCCGAUUAGUCCGCUGUGAAAGUCCAGGGCUCAACCCUGGAAUGCCGGUGGAUACUGUCGGGCUAGAGUCCGGAAGGGGCGAGUGGAAUUCCUGGUGUAGCGGUGAAAUGCGCAGAUAUCGGGAAGAACACCUAUGGCGAAGGCAGCUCUCUGGGACGGUACUGACGCUGAGACGCGAAAGCGUGGGGAGCGAACAGG